rnacentral:rRNA from 1 species
CCUACGGGAGGCAGCAGUAAGGAAUAUUGGUCAAUGGACGCAAGUCUGAACCAGCCAUGCCGCGUGAAGGAUUAAGGUCCUCUGGAUUGUAAACUUCUUUUAUUUGGGACGAAAAAGGGCCUUUCUAGGUCAACUGACGGUACCAGAUGAAUAAGCACCGGCUAACUCCGUGCCAGCAGCCGCGGUAAUACGGAGGGUGCAAGCGUUAUCCGGAUUCACUGGGUUUAAAGGGUGCGUAGGCGGGUAGGUAAGUCAGUGGUGAAAUCCUAGAGCUUAACUCUAGAACUGCCAUUGAUACUAUCUAUCUUGAAUAUUGUGGAGGUAAGCGGAAUAUGUCAUGUAGCGGUGAAAUGCUUAGAUAUGACAUAGAACACCUAUUGCGAAGGCAGCUUACUACGCAUAUAUUGACGCUGAGGCACGAAAGCGUGGGGAUCAAACAGGAUUAGAUACCCUGGUAGUCCACGCCCUAAACCUAUGAUUACUCGACAUUUGAGAUACACAUUAAGUGUUNUGAGACGAAGACAUUAAGUUAAUACCACCGUACGGAGGUACGUACCGCGAGAGUAGAACGUACGAACGUAGUAGUUAGUACGGACGUAGAGACGUUACGACCGACGGACGACCGACGGAGGGAGGAGG